CUAACCCUAGCUGCGCCAAUCUUUUCCCUUUUCCCUCUCAGUCUCUACUGUUCUCGCACUCUCGCAUCAGCGAAUCCUCCAUGGACGCGUCAAACAGGAACAUCGACCGUCUCGGGAACCGCUUCAGGCUUCGGCGACGCUUCUUCUUCGAGCGAGAGAAAGAGUGGCGGCAGUGGUGUUUGGGGUUUGGGUUUCGAACGACUGUGGUGAUGGCUAUUUGGGUGAUGGUGGUGUGAAUGGAGGAGCGAUUUGGGUGAUGGUGGUACGAAUGGAGGAGGGGAAGUGGAGCCCAGCUUCAGAUUGAGAAGGGAAAGUGGUUGUGGUGGCGUUUAGGGAGAGGAAGAGUGGCGGCAGUGGUGUUUGGGGUUUGGGUUUCGAAGGUCAAUGGUGAUUUGGGGGUUUGAAGGUCAGUGAAGAGGGUUUGAGGAGAGGAUACAGGAAGGAGGAGACAGAAUGGGUGUGGGUUUGAAGAUCUGGGUUCUUCUAUCUUUCAACUUUGAUUUGUUGGGUUUGAAGAUUCUUGGUUCUUAAAUUUGGGUUUUUCAGAGUGAGGGAACCCUAGUCCGCGCCGUCUCUCUUCAUCGAGCCCUGGUUCCGUGCAGCCAUCACCGCGUCUCUGAGAACCCUAGUUUCUUUUGCUGUUUCAUGUGCUUUUGUAAUUUACGAAAUCCUGGUGUUGUCUGCUCUCAACCUAUACAGAUUUGUAUUGAUGACAGAAUCUUCAGGAAAGACAAACUGCACUGGUGUCCUAUCAAGGAACACUUUGUUGAAGGCCUUCAAUGAAUGGUUGCUUCCUUUGCGGACCUUAGUGACAGGUAUAUUGGCAGAGAACAAGAAUGAUUAUGAUCAGCUUGCAGUUGACACUUUAUGCACAAUAAAUCCACUUGAGUUGGUGUCGUACCGGUGCAUUGAGCUUGUAGAAGAUAAGAUAAAGGAAGCCACAUAGGCUAUCCCACUGGCCAAAACUUUUAUCGCUUGCUUCUUUUCAGUAUCCCGUAAUUUAUGAUUCUGCUUUUACUGUUUAUUGCUUGCUUCUUUUCUAUCGAGAUAGUUUCUUUGAUUCUCUCACUGGAUUGGAUUUAAGAGAUAAUGACAAUAGGAUCAUAAUCAAGUUUAUGAUAAUCACCCGUUGAAGCUGCUUGUAAAGGGUUUCCUGCAGACAGAGUCAUGGAAUAAAAGGUCUAGGAACUGCUUUGGCUCUUAUGAAGCAGUAGCAUGGUGCGAACAUGCUUUUGGUGCGAACCGGCCAGUGUUUCCUCCUCAAUGGUUUCAUUUUCUUAGGAAGGGAAGCCCUUACUUGGUACUCUACUAGAUGCAUAUAGAAGUAGCUUGCAAAAUUUAAGGGAAGGAUUUCAACUCUUUUAAUAUCUUAUCUCUGGCUCAACCUGAAAUUUCACCUUCACUCUACUUGUUUUGUAUAUGUUUCAGGGAAGCCCUUA